rnacentral:rRNA from 1 species
GACGAACGCUGGCGGCGUGCUUAACACAUGCAAGUCGAACGGAAAGGCCCUGCUUUUGUGGGGUGCUCGAGUGGCGAACGGGUGAGUAACACGUGAGUAACCUGCCCUUGACUUUGGGAUAACUUCAGGAAACUGGGGCUAAUACCGGAUAGGAGCUCCUGCUGCAUGGUGGGGGUUGGAAAGUUUCGGCGGUUGGGGAUGGACUCGCGGCUUAUCAGCUUGUUGGUGGGGUAGUGGCUUACCAAGGCUUUGACGGGUAGCCGGCCUGAGAGGGUGACCGGCCACAUUGGGACUGGGAUACGGCCCAGACUCCUACGGGAGGCAGCAGUGGGGAAUAUUGCACAAUGGGCGGAAGCCUGAUGCAGCAACGCCGCGUGCGGGAUGACGGCCUUCGGGUUGUAAACCGCUUUCGCCUGUGACGAAGCGUGAGUGACGGUAAUGGGUACAGAAGCACCGGCUAACUACGUG